ensembl:lncRNA
CACACAGUCCCUAAACACCAUUAUUACAAUCCCACAUAGUCCCCAAACACCGUUAUUUGUCACGCUGAGCGGAACAGGUGAACGCAAGAGCAGACUCAGACGAGGAGACUGGGAUGAGGUAACCAAGAUAUUUAUUGAAACACAGGGGUAUGAUGGGGUGCAGGCCAGGGGAAGCUCGGGCGGGUUACAGGAAGCCCGGUGCAGAGGCUGAGGCUGGAGCGAGGGGAGUUGGGACUGGGCUAGCAGGUCCAGAGGCUGAGGCUGGAGCGAGGGGAGUUGGGACUGGGCUAGCAGGUCCGGAUAGGAAUCCAAGGACGCAGUGGAGUUGGGGGGGGUUCAGGACAGAGUAGCAGGACUGACGAGAUGUGGGACUGGAGACGGACCAAAGUCAGAGCGGGCAGAACUGUAGCGGACAGGACAGCAAGCGUCAGGCAAGGGAAAACAGGCAUAACACAAAAACAAGAUCUAAGCAGGAACAAAAGGCAACAACAAAAACAGACUGCCUGAGCA